rnacentral:misc_RNA from 1 species
UUGUUCAAUUUGAUUGAUACUCCGACGCAUAGAAGCAGUGUUGGGUUGGCCAGCGGGGGCGCCGCCGCACGAAACGGCAGGGUCGCCCCCGAGGCAACGGUUUUGGUUCACAUGGGGUUGGAGGUCGGGCGUGAGCCCUCGCUCAGUAAUGAUCCCUCCGCAGGUUCACCUACGGAGA